rnacentral:rRNA from 1 species
GACGAACGCUGGCGGCGUGCCUAACACAUGCAAGUCGAGCGGGGUUGAGGCGAGAGGUAACUCGAACUUCUACCUAGCGGCGGACGGGUGAGUAACGCGUGGGCAACCUGCCUCAAGGUUUGGGAUAACAGCCCGAAAGGGCUGCUAAUACCGGAUAUGCCUAUGGCCUCGCAUGGGGCUAUGAGCAAAGGGGAACCCGCCUUGAGAUGGGCCCGCGUCCCAUCAGCUAGUUGGUGAGGUAACAGCUCACCAAGGCGACGACGGGUAGCCGGCCUGAGAGGGUGACCGGCCACACUGGGACUGAGACACGGCCCAGACUCCUACGGGGGCAGCAGUGGGGGAUCUUGCACAAUGGGCGAAAGCCUGAUGCAGCGACGCCGCGUGAGCGAAGAAGGCCUUCGGGUUGUAAAGCUCUUUCAGCCGGGAAGAAAACGCACUCUCUAACAUAGGGUGUGGAUGACGGUACCGGAAGAAGAAGCAACCGGCUAACUACGUGCCAGCAGCCGG